rnacentral:rRNA from 1 species
ACCAUGAGAGUUGGAAUACCCGAAGCCUGUGAGCUAACUGUAAAGAGGCAGCAGUCGAAGGUAGAGCCAAUGAUUGGGGUGAAGUCGUAACAAGGUACC